rnacentral:rRNA from 1 species
UACGGAGGGGGCUAGCGUUGUCCGGAAUCAUUGGGCGUAAAGAGCGUGUAGGCGGUCCGGUAAGUCCGCUGUGAAAGUCGGGGGGCUCAACCCUCGAAUGCCGGUGGAUACUGUCGGGCUAGAGUGCGGAAGAGGCGAGUGGAAUUCCUGGUGUAGCGGUGAAAUGCGCAGAUAUCAGGAGGAACACCUAUUGCGAAGGCAGCUCGCUGGGACGUUACUGACGCUGAGACGCGAAAGCGUGGGGAGCAAACAGG